UACAGAGGGGGCCAGCGUUAUUCGGAAUUAUUGGGCGUAAAGGGCGCGUAGGCGGCUUUGCGUGUCUUUCGUGAAAUCCCUCGGCUCAACUGAGGACGUGCGGAAGAAACUGCAGGGCUGGAGUCCGGGAGAGGAGGGUGGAAUUCCCAGUGUAGCGGUGAAAUGCGUAGAUAUUGGGAGGAACACCGGUGGCGAAGGCGGCCCUCUGUACCGGUACUGACGCUGAGGAGCGAAAGCUAGGGGAGCGAACGGG
rnacentral:rRNA from 1 species